CCUACGGGAGGCAGCAGUGGGGAAUAUUGGGCAAUGGGCGCAAGCCUGACCCAGCAACGCCGCGUGAAGGAAGAAGGCUCUCGGGUUGUAAACUUCUUUUAUCAGGGACGAAGCAAGUGACGGUACCUGAUGAAUAAGCCACGGCUAACUACGUGCCAGCAGCCGCGGUAAUGCGUAGGGUGCAAGCGUUAUCCGGAUUUACUGGGUGGAAAGGGCGUGUAGGCGGGAAAGCAAGUCAGAUGUGAAAACCAUGGGCUCAACCUGUGCCCUGCAUUUGAAACUGUUUUUCUUGAGUACUGGAGAGGCAGACGGAAUUCCUAGUGUAGCGGUGAAAUGCGUAGAUAUUAGGAGGAACACCAGUGGCGAAGGCGGUCUGCUGGACAGCAACUGACGCUGAGGCGCGAAAGCGUGGGGAGCAAACAGGAUUAGAUACCCUUGUAGUC
rnacentral:rRNA from 1 species